rnacentral:rRNA from 1 species
UACGGGGGGGGGCAAGCGUCGUUCGGAAUUACUGGGCGUAAAGGGCUCGUAGGCGGCCAACUAAGUCGGACGUGAAAUCCCCAGGCUCAACCUGGGAACUGCGUCCGAUACUGGAUGGCUUGAAUCCGGGAGAGGGAUGCAGAAUUCCAGGUGUAGCGGUGAAAUGCGUAGAUAUCUGGAGGAACACCGGUGGCGAAGGCGGCAUCCUGGACCGGCAUUGACGCUGAGGCGCGAAAGCUAGGGGAGCAAAGCGGG